GGUCGCUUAGCUUAAUUGGUAGAGCGUAGUACUUACGAGCCUAAGGUCACGAGUUCGAAUCUCGUAGUGACCA
rfam:Rhizopus oryzae RA 99-880 supercont3.29 genomic scaffold, whole genome shotgun sequence.